GACGUAGGGCGCGAGCGUUGUCCGGAUUUAUUGGGCGUAAAGAGCUCGUAGGCGCUUGUCGCGUCGUUCGUGAAAACCUGCAGCUCAACUGCAGGCUUGCGGUCGAUACGGGCAGGCUAGAGUUCGGUAGGGGAGACUGGAAUUCCUGGUGUGAGCGGUGAAAUGCGCCAGAUAUCGGGAGGAACACCUGUGGCGAAGGCGGCUUUCUGGGCCCUACCUGACGCUGAGACGCGGAAAGCGUGGGGAGCGAACCGG
rnacentral:rRNA from 1 species